CAGUGAUAAACUGGAGGAAGGUGGGGAUGACGUCAAGUCAUCAUGGCCCUUACGACCAGGGCUACACACGUGCUACAAUGGCGCAUACAAAGAGAAGCGACCUCGCGAGAGCAAGCGGACCUCAUAAAGUGCGUCGUAGUCCGGAUUGGAGUCUGCAACUCGACUCCAUGAAGUCGGAAUCGCUAGUAAUCGUGGAUCAGAAUGCCACGGUGAAUACGUUCCCGGGCCUUGUACACACCGCCCGUCACACCAUGGGAGUGGGUUGCAAAAGAAGUAGGUAGCUUAACCUUCGGGAGGGCGCUUACCACUUUGUGAUUCAUGACUGGGGUGAAGUCGUAACAAGGUAACCGUAGGGGAACCUGCGGUUGGAUCACCUCCUUACCUUAAAG
rnacentral:rRNA from 4 species